rnacentral:rRNA from 1 species
UACGUAGGGUGCAAGCGUUAAUCGGAAUUACUGGGCGUAAAGCGUGCGCAGGCGGUGAUGUAAGACAGGUGUGAAAUCCCCGGGCUUAACCUGGGAACUGCAUUUGUGACUGCAUCGCUGGAGUGGGGCAGAGGGGGAUGGAAUUCCGCGUGUAGCAGUGAAAUGCGUAGAUAUGCGGAGGAACACCGAUGGCGAAGGCAAUCCCCUGGGCCUGCACUGACGCUCAUGCACGAAAGCGUGGGGAGCAAACAGG